CGGUGAUAAACCGGAGGAAGGUGGGGACGACGUCAAGUCAUCAUGGCCCUUACGAGUAGGGCUACACACGUGCUACAAUGGCGCAUACAGAGGGCGGCCAACUUGCGAAAGUGAGCGAUCCCAAAAAGUGCGUCGUAGUCCGGAUUGGAGUCUGCAACUCGACUCCAUGAAGUCGGAAUCGCUAGUAAUCGUGGAUCAGAAUGCCACGGUGAAUACGUUCCCGGGCCUUGUACACACCGCCCGUCACACCAUGGGAGUGGGCUGCAAAAGAAGUAGGUAGUUUAACCUUCGGGGGGACGCUUACCACUUUGUGGUUCAUGACUGGGGUGAAGUCGUAACAAGGUAGCGCUAGGGGAACCUGGCGCUGGAUCACCUCCUUAAACGAUGAU
rnacentral:rRNA from 1 species